UGUUUGUUUAACUAUGGCAAUAGGAAGUAUUCAAUGGCUUAAUUGCAUAAAAUUAUUUUAUGUUUUUAAUACUAUGAGUUCAUUUAUUAAUUAUUAGCAGUUAGUAUUUUAUUUGGAUGGAAUUCCUUUAAAAUGUCGUUGUUUUACAGGGGACAGGACACAGUGCCAGCAUCCGCGGUUAAUCUGUUUUCUUUGCUUUCACUAGAUUAUAGUUUGGGUGGAUAGAUCUGAGGUUAGGUGAAAUUUUCUUAAGUUAUAGAUUUUCACCCAUAAAAUUUAAAGUAAGAUUAAACAACAGGGAUUAGAUACCCCAUUAGUUAUUAAUUGAAAAUUUAAGUCUAGUUUUAUAACUAAAAUAGUUUGGCAGCGAGUUACUCCUGAUGGGGGAAGGUGCGUUAUAAAGGACGUUCCGCCUAUUAAUUUACCUAAUCUAUGUUGGUGUAUAUCUGGUUUAAUAUUAUUGCUUAAUAGCUUUAAUUUGUGUAUCUAAAAUUAAGCCAAGUCUAUGUGCUGCAUGUUUAGGUUUUCGUGCGUUACACUGAUAUAAUGAUGUAUUGUAAUUUACAUUAUAUGUUUAGGACUCAAUAGUAAUAUAGUUUAAUUUGUCUAUGUGAAAGGGGUUUAACUUGGGUACACACCGCCCGUCACCCUCGACUAUUGUUGAGGUAAGUCGUAACAUGGUAGCCCUAGAUGAAUCUAGGGUUAAUUGCUAAGUAUCAAUAAUCAUCUUAGCAUUA
rnacentral:rRNA from 1 species